rnacentral:rRNA from 1 species
AAAAGGAAGUGAUUCCGGCGGAGGAUGGGCAUGCGGCGCAUUAGCUUGUUGGCGGGGUAACGGCCCACCAAGGCGACGAUGCGUAGGGGUUCUGAGAGGAAGGUCCCCCACACUGGUACUGAGACACGGACCAGACUCCUACGGGAGGCAGCAGUGAGGAAUAUUGGUCAAUGGGCGGGAGCCUGAACCAGCCAAGUCGCGUGAGGGAAGACGGUCCUAUGGAUUGUAAACCUCUUUAGGCGGGGAGCAAUGCCGGGCACGCGUGCCCGGAGGGAGAGUACCCGCAGAAUAAGCAUCGGCUAACUCCGUGCCAGCAGCCGCGGUAAUACGGAGGAUGCGAGCGUUAUCCGGAUUUAUUGGGUUUAAAGGGUGCGUAGGCGGAUUUUUAAGUCAGCGGUAAAAUGUCCGGGCUCAACCCGGGCCGGCCGUUGAAACUGGGGAUCUUGAGUGGGCGAGAAGUAUGCGGAAUGCGUGGUGUAGCGGUGAAAUGCAUAGAUAUCACGCAGAACUCCGAUUGCGAAGGCAGCAUACCGGCGCCCGACUGACGCUGAGGCACGAAAGCGUGGGGAUCGAACAGGAUUAGAUACCCUGGUAGUCCACGCAGUAAACGA